UAAGUUAGAAAGGGCGCACGGUGGAUGCCUUGACACUAGGAGUCGAUGAAGGACGGGACUAACGCCGAUAUGCUUCGGGGAGCUGUAAGUAAGCUUUGAUCCGAAGAUUUCCGAAUGGGGAAACCCACCAUACGUAAUGGUAUGGUAUCCUUAUCUGAAUACAUAGGAUAAGGAAGACAGACCCAGGGAACUGAAACAUCUAAGUACCUGGAGGAAGAGAAAGCAAAUGCGAUUUCCUGAGUAGCGGCGAGCGAAACGGAACAUAGCCCAAACCAAGAGGCUUGCCUCUUGGGGUUGUAGGACAUUCUAUACGGAGUUACAAAGGAACGAGGUAGACGAAGCGACCUGGAAAGGUCCGUCGUAGAGGGUAACAACCCCGUAGUCGAAACUUCGUUCUCUCUUGAAUGUAUCCUGAGUACGGCGGAACACGUGAAAUUCCGUCGGAAUCUGGGAGGACCAUCUCCCAAGGCUAAAUACUCCCUAGUGAUCGAUAGUGAACCAGUACCGUGAGGGAAAGGUGAAAAGCACCCCGGAAGGGGAGUGAAAGAGAUCCUGAAACCGUGUGCCUACAAAUAGUCAGAGCCCGUUAACGGGUGAUGGCGUGCCUUUUGUAGAAUGAACCGGCGAGUUACGAUCCCGUGCGAGGUUAAGCUGAAGAGGCGGAGCCGCAGCGAAAGCGAGUCUGAAUAGGGCGUUUAGUACGUGGUCGUAGACCCGAAACCAGGUGAUCUACCCAUGUCCAGGGUGAAGUUCAGGUAACACUGAAUGGAGGCCCGAACCCACGCACGUUGAAAAGUGCGGGGAUGAGGUGUGGGUAGCGGAGAAAUUCCAAUCGAACCUGGAGAUAGCUGGUUCUCCCCGAAAUAGCUUUAGGGCUAGCCUUAAGUGUAAGAGUCUUGGAGGUAGAGCACUGAUUGGACUAGGGGUCCUCAUCGGAUUACCGAAUUCAGUCAAACUCCGAAUGCCAAUGACUUAUCCUUAGGAGUCAGACUGCGAGUGAUAAGAUCCGUAGUCAAAAGGGAAACAGCCCAGACCGCCAGCUAAGGUCCCAAAGUGUGUAUUAAGUGGAAAAGGAUGUGGAGUUGCUUAGACAACUAGGAUGUUGGCUUAGAAGCAGCCACCAUUUAAAGAGUGCGUAAUAGCUCACUAGUCGAGUGACUCUGCGCCGAAAAUGUACCGGGGCUAAAUACACCACCGAAGCUGCGGAUUGAUACCAAUGGUACCAGUGGUAGGGGAGCGUUCUAAGGACAGUGAAGUCAGACCGGAAGGACUGGUGGAGUGCUUAGAAGUGAGAAUGCCGGUAUGAGUAGCGAAAGACGGGUGAGAAUCCCGUCCACCGAAUGCCUAAGGUUUCCUGAGGAAGGCUCGUCCGCUCAGGGUUAGUCAGGACCUAAGCCGAGGCCGACAGGCGUAGGCGAUGGACAACAGGUUGAUAUUCCUGUACCACCUCUUUAUCGUUUGAGCAAUGGAGGGACGCAGAAGGAUAGAAGAAGCGUGCGAUUGGUUGUGCACGUCCAAGCAGUUAGGCUGAUAAGUAGGCAAAUCCGCUUAUCGUGAAGGCUGAGCUGUGAUGGGGAAGCUCCUUAUGGAGCGAAGUCUUUGAUUCCCCGCUGCCAAGAAAAGCUUCUAGCGAGAUAAAAGGUGCCUGUACCGCAAACCGACACAGGUAGGCGAGGAGAGAAUCCUAAGGUGUGCGAGAGAACUCUGGUUAAGGAACUCGGCAAAAUGACCCCGUAACUUCGGGAGAAGGGGUGCUUUCUUAACGGAAAGCCGCAGUGAAUAGGCCCAAGCGACUGUUUAGCAAAAACACAGCUCUCUGCGAAGCCGUAAGGCGAAGUAUAGGGGGUGACACCUGCCCGGUGCUGGAAGGUUAAGGAGAGGGGUUAGCGUAAGCGAAGCUCUGAACUGAAGCCCCAGUAAACGGCGGCCGUAACUAUAACGGUCCUAAGGUAGCGAAAUUCCUUGUCGGGUAAGUUCCGACCCGCACGAAAGGUGUAACGAUUUGGGCACUGUCUCAACCAGAGACUCGGUGAAAUUAUAGUACCUGUGAAGAUGCAGGUUACCCGCGACAGGACGGAAAGACCCCGUGGAGCUUUACUGUAGCCUGAUAUUGAAUUUUGGUACAGUUUGUACAGGAUAGGCGGGAGCCUUUGAAACCGGAGCGCUAGCUUCGGUGGAGGCGCUGGUGGGAUACCGCCCUGACUGUAUUGAAAUUCUAACCUACGGGUCUUAUCGACCCGGGAGACAGUGUCAGGUGGGCAGUUUGACUGGGGCGGUCGCCUCCUAAAGUGUAACGGAGGCGCCCAAAGGUUCCCUCAGAAUGGUUGGAAAUCAUUCGUAGAGUGCAAAGGCAUAAGGGAGCUUGACUGCGAGACCUACAAGUCGAGCAGGGACGAAAGUCGGGCUUAGUGAUCCGGUGGUUCCGCAUGGAAGGGCCAUCGCUCAACGGAUAAAAGCUACCCCGGGGAUAACAGGCUUAUCUCCCCCAAGAGUCCACAUCGACGGGGAGGUUUGGCACCUCGAUGUCGGCUCAUCGCAUCCUGGGGCUGUAGUCGGUCCCAAGGGUUGGGCUGUUCGCCCAUUAAAGCGGUACGCGAGCUGGGUUCAGAACGUCGUGAGACAGUUCGGUCCCUAUCCGUCGUGGGCGUAGGAAAUUUGAGAGGAGCUGUCCUUAGUACGAGAGGACCGGGAUGGACGCACCGCUGGUGUACCAGUUGUUCUGCCAAGGGCAUAGCUGGGUAGCUAUGUGCGGAAGGGAUAAGUGCUGAAAGCAUCUAAGCAUGAAGCCCCCCUCAAGAUGAGAUUUCCCAUAGCGUAAGCUAGUAAGAUCCCUGAAAGAUGAUCAGGUUGAUAGGUUCGAGGUGGAAGCAUGGUGACAUGUGGAGCUGACGAAUACUAAUAGAUCGAGGACUUAACCA
rnacentral:rRNA from 1 species